GACGAACGCUGGCGGCGUGCUUAACACAUGCAAGUCGAGCGGUAAGGCCCUUUCGGGGGUACGACGAGCGGCGAACGGGUGAGUAACACGUGGGUGACCUGCCUCUAGCUCUGGGAUAAGCCUGGGAAGCUGGGUCUAAUACCGGAUAUGACCUCGCGGUGCAUGUUGCGGGGUGGAAAGCCUUGUGCGGCUAGGGAUGGGCCCGCGGCCUAUCAGCUUGUUGGUGGGGUGANGGCC
rnacentral:rRNA from 1 species